AUUUUAUUAAAAGUGGUGCAGUAUUCUAGUCAGGUAAGUAUAUUUUGAAGGCGGGGCUAAAAAUCCGCCAAAGGGCACAUCGAUGAAGCUCUUGGUGCUGGCUUAUGACGCCCAGUUGUGGGUUGGUGCUGGGAGUAAGGGGGAUGGGGCAACCGCAAUGGCAUGCGCAAUUGACCCUACCUUCGCGGAGACCAUUACUUGUGUAUAGGGAGAGAUAUCCUAUAGACGAUAAUGGAUUAAACCUGCAAUGUGGCUAAAUGCUAUGUGCAGUGUAGCCUGCCUUGAGUGAUAUAGGGAGAGGUUAAGUCUAAACUUGAAAGGAAGGCCAAACUUUCAAGCUAUUGCUUACUGAAACCUAUGUUGCAAAAGAGGCUAGAGAUAUACCCAACUGUAGAGGAAAUCUCCUAGACUGUUCUAACUUUAGAGAUAUUUUAGGGAUUGCAGUGCGGACUAAGUGGCAAUCUAGUACUAUACAUUUUAUUGUAUGGAUAAGGCAUUAAAGGGAAACCGUCAAAAUGGCGACAUUUUGAUUGCUUUAUGGGAAAUCCAACUAGACCUAAGCCGCAAAAUUAACCUAAAGUAUUACCACUUUUUUAUAAUUU
rnacentral:sRNA from 1 species